AGCAGCACCCCAACUUUCAGCCGGUUACCCAUACAUCUCUCAUGUCAUGAAGUACAAUGAAACUAUAGCACACACACAUUCCAGUGGAAAAAAAUAAUUUUCAAAGUUCCCUGGAGUUCGUUGCAGUGGAAUCCAUGGCCCAGGAGGAGGAAGAGGUUUAGUUCAGCCUGGAACGAGGGCAUCCCAUCUGAGCCGAGACCUCUUUGAGGGUCCUUGUAUGUCACCUGCUGUCUGUCACUGGUUCGCCUUCUGGCAUCUUUGAUACCUCCCCAGUCAGAGACCUCUGUUUGUGCCAAGAAGUCAUCUGCUGUGUCUUCAAACAAGACCGUAGGAGGCAGAGCCUCUGGUGCUGGCGCAUUGCAGGAGCUAAUACCUCGUCACCAACGGAGUGAAGAGACCACGGCUUUCCCCUUUCCUUCCUGUAUUCCAGCUUGCAUGGAUGCCAGCAGAAUUCAAUCUAAAGUGGAAAGAGAAAAGUAAACAAACCUGAGAAUUUUCUGGAUCUCUGCAGAGCUGGGCACUUUGCCAGUACAGGUUUUAUUGGAGGGAAGUGGUGGGUCGCUUCCUCGUGUUCCCAUCGCACAGGCUGGAGUAAACUAGCUCUGUAAGCAGGCUUGCCUUUGGCCGACAGAUGACAACGUGUCUGCACGUAGACAUAGACUUUACAAAGGGCUAGAGAUGGCUGGUGGUUCUUAUGAGGAGAUGGCCCUGAGGCCGAUCAGUGUCAUUCCAGUCAAAGGGCUGCCUGUUAGGGGCACGUGACAUCCCCCAGCACCCGACAACAUAUACGCAGGCACACAUGCACACAGGCUGUGAAAUGUAUGUCUCCAAGUGGCUGCGGGCCCCUGAAGGGCUGCUGCAGCCCUGGGGCUUUGCUCUUCAGAGCCAUGUCGAGGGAGCUGUAGCGGGAGCCACAAUCUUCAUGUCAGCUCCUCCCUGGCAGACUUAGCCUGCCAGAGCUAAUGAGACAGGCCACCCUUCAGCCAACCUC
rnacentral:lncRNA from 1 species